ACCAGGGCGGCUCAGGCGCGUGGUCGAGGCAGGCAGGGCACUGGGGAGAUGGGCGGGGCUCGGGACUCAGCACCCCUGGUCUGGGCACCUUGCCGGGCACUGGGCAGAGGACUCCCGAGGGGCGAAGAGGAGGCGACACCCAGGCAUGGACACUCCGGGGGUGGAGGAGGACCUGGGCUUGGAUCCACGGAGGGAAGCAGCUGCGCCCUGCUGGUGGCGAUGGGGGGACAGACUCCAAAGAGGGAGCCUGACCGGGGCCUCGUUCAACACACGGCGCGCAGAGGCGGGGGCAGGCGGAUGAAAGAUCUCUGAAGACAAAUUGGAUGAUGCAUAUGUGGAUUCUGUUUCACUUGGUGUUUAGCUUUUCCCCCCUCUUGCUGCAUAUUUAUCCUCUUUCAGGUUCCAAAGUCCGGUAGGUGCUUUUUAAAAUUUUUUUCUGUUUUACUGAGACAGGCCCUCCCUAUGUAGCCCAAGCUGGCCUCAAACUCACACGAUCCUCCUGCCUUAGCCUCCUGAAUGCUGGGAUUACAGGUAUGCACAAUGACGCUGGGCUUUACUUCAGUUUUGAUCAGAGUUUACUUCCCACCUAAAUCAAGAAUAUCUGUUUCUAUCCUGGCUGCAGUGUACUCCUGCUGACUGGACCUCAGAAAAUACUACUAAGGUCUGAGGAUCUAAAAUAGAAGAUUAGAUGUAGAAAACAUUUUCAAAUCAUGCCCCAUAUUUGCUGCUGUGUUAUAAACCCACCUUUUUGUUUCUUUCCAGGUGGAGUAGAUCUUGUGUACCUCAGACUGUUCCAGUUUGUCAACAAAUUAGAAAUUCUUUUCUAUUUAUCAAAAAAAAAAAAGAAUCUCUUCUUGGAAAGAUAGAAAACAAGCUUAUACAAGUCAAAUAAUUUUUGAAAGAUAAAAAGAUUUAAUGUCUUUUUAGAAAUUAUUUUGCUGCUGUGUGAAUAGUUUUAAAUCUUUUUUCUAUUUUUAAACCAUAUUCUUUAAUCAGUUUUCGGAGUUUGUCUUUUAGAUCCUCCAAACUGAUGCUGAGUGCUGUGAGCCCUGUCUUUCCUGGCUCUCUGAUACUUAAGGUUCAUGAACAAAGGUUGAUUUUCUGAUAGAUUUAUCUAAAAUAUUUGGAAAAUCAAGGGGAAUUCUUAAAUUUUCAUCUAUCAUAUUUGCAAAUUAUCUUGUAAUCCCCAAUGACACAUACAAGCAAAGAUGUUUCUAGAAUAUGAACAAUUAAGUGUGAUAUUUAAUUCAAUAUAACUGACAGUAUUUUUUCAAUUUGUGUGCAAUUCUUCUGCACUGCUUUUAUGAACUAAAGCUUAGACCUUAAUGUUCUUAUUCUGAGGAAAAACGAGAAAACAGAAAGGAUUUUGUGGUUCUUUGCUUGAAGCUUGUGGAGUUUGUUAUUUAAGAUGCUGGGCCCAGAAGGAUCUUCACCGUCUGUUAGCACUGGUCCCCACUCACUACCUGGGGCGUGCGCGCCAGUGUGAAUCUUGGUGACGCGAAGUAAAUGUCCCUGUUUCAGCGCAGCUUUGCUGGCGAUCGCUCUACCAUGGCUCUGGUGCUGAGAACCCUGAUCACGUGGUGAGAGGCUGAAGCAGGCCAUUGCCUCCUGACAUGAGUUUCGGCACAAUCCGAGGAACUGAAAUUUCAUGCAAGUGCGGAAAUAUUCACCCCAGUGACAUACACACAACUUUCAGGCUCAUUCUGUUCAUUAAAUUUUUCCCCUAAGUCUGUUCAAAAUGAAGAUUGUUUACAUUUGAUGACCCAAAAUCAACCUGUAUUUGGUUGAAAACAGCCAAAUGGCUACCGUCAACAUGCCUGUGAAUUCGGUUCAGAAAGUAUAAAGCCUCAGUAUUUUCAGUAUUUGACACAGGCAAAAGUCGUCCUCUCUGCAGUACUCUAACUCAAGUGUACAAAUACUGAGCAGCACACGGUAACAAACCUUUCUGUCCAGUUUUUCAUAUGCAACAUUUCAGGGCCAUGGUUUUGCCCACGGCACGCUAUGUCCACUCAAUUCAGUAAAUCCUUUUCGGGUCACUUUGCUCCCCUCACGUCUCGCUGUGAAAUCCAGCGCAAGAGAGAGUGGGCAGCUGCACGGGGCAGGAAGUGGGGGGUGUCACACGGGCGCUAGGCUCGCCCUGGGGCUGCUGCCGCAGAAGGGACCCGGAUGCCGAUGCCGCGCCUCUGCCCACCGGCCAGCUCCUCCACUGCCCGGAGC
ensembl:lncRNA